AUAAUUUAAUGGUCCAGCUAGUAGGCCGGGCUUCUGUCUAUCCCAUUGAGUUCUAUAAUAGAACUCAAUGGUCUAUCCACGACAUUGUUAACAUGGCGGUCAAUUUGAAAUUUGCAAUACAUUACUUCUGCAAAUCUUCUCUCACUUUAGUAAAAGUAUAAACCGACGAUGACCGAUUCAACCACAAACAACGAUAUUGAGACGUCUUCUACUUCAAAGAUUGGAGCAGAAUGUUCAAGUAAUCUUGAAAAAACUCAAUUAAGUAAUACUUGUUCGUCUAAUGAUGUAUCUCAAAUUUCUAACAACGAUGAAAAAUCUUUGGCAAAUAAUCAACUGGGAAAGAUGUAUUCCGAUGGAAAAUUGUCGAAAAGAAAGUUGAAACGGUUGAAGAAUCAUCAGAAAUGGGUUGAAAGAAAACAGGAAAAAAAGUUGCUCAAGAAAGAAAAAAUAAGAAAAGCAAAAGCAGAAGGCUUACCUGUACCUAAGUCAAGAUCUUCAAGGAGAUGUGAAGUGAAAAAAAUGGAUUGUGAGGAAGCCUUACCAGUGAAAAUUGCCAUUGAUAUGUCAUAUGAAUCAUUCAUGGACGAACGUUCCAUGAAAAAGCUGUUGAAACAAGUGAAAACGUGUUAUGCUGUAAAUAGAAAGUCUUCGAGGCCAAUACAGUUUUAUUUGACGGGAUUUGAAGGAAAUAUUCAAUUGUUGACGGAAGGAACAUAUCAGGAAUACAAGAGUUGGGAUAUUCACAUCAAAAAAGAAUCAUACAUAGAUGUAUUUCACAAGGAAAAUAUAGUUUAUCUCACGUCAGACUCAGAAAAUAUACUAGAAGAUAUUGACCUAUCCAAAGCGUACAUAAUUGGAGGUCUUGUUGAUCAUAACCACCAUAAGGGGCUUUGUCACAAACUUGCUGUUGAAAAUAAAGUAGCGCAUGCGCAAUUGCCAAUUAAAAACUUCGUGAAGAUACAAUCAAGAACCGUACUGACGGUAAAUCAUGUUUUUGAAAUAAUCCUGAAAUAUUUGGAGUUGAAAGACUGGCAGAAAGCUUUUUAUGACGUCAUACCAAAACGAAAAGGGGUAUCUCUGGUGGAUACUAAUGGAUAAACAUGAAUAAAAGCUGACGAUAACAAUGAUUGUUUUGUGUGAUGAUGUUAAAGGACAUGAAAAAUAAACUGAUCAAGACCAGGGCAGAUUGUCUGAAAGCGAUCCAAUCCACUAUCUUCAGAAAUUUUUGAAAGCAACAGCGAAGCAUUGUAAAGUGAAGAAAAUUUCAACAAUGAUCGGAAA